GCAUAACUGAGAGUAAAUUUUCUGACACCAAAGAUUUGUCAGUAACGAGGGCAUUUUGAAUAGGGCUUUGUAGCUGUUUCAGUAUAAAAUUUUGUAAUAUCUUUCUUGAGGAAUUAUAGAGGAUGUAUCAUUGUUUCAAGGUUUUCUAUUUACUACUUUAAAAAUUGAAGGAACAAAAAGGUCCUUUGUACCUUCUUGAGAGUACGCCACAGAGAAUGCAAAAAUACAUAAAAAAUCCUUAGUAUUUUUUAUUAUGAUCAUUCCUUUAGAGCUAGUUUUAUUUCUAUCUGCUCUACUGUGUGCCUGCAUAGCGUAGUGCCAUCGUUUGAUACGUCAGGAAUGUUGUGUUUUGGUUGGGCCUUCUAGUAAGAUAACACAGUAGAUGAGUGAUAUUUGCUGGAUUUGGACAUCGGUGCUUUUGGCUGUGAACAGUUUUGAAGUUGUGUUUCGUGAUACAGUGAUGUGAACUUUUUCUUUGUAAAAAGAAAGCUUUUUUUGUGCUUUAUAUAAUUUAAAGAAAAAAGUUAUGAAACAGUUUGUGAUUUCUGUUCUAGAACCUAGAUAGAAAUUUAACAGUACAAAGGUCAUAAAGUGUCAUUUAAAAAUUCUCAGCUUUUGUUUAUGUGGAUUAUUUCGUUGUUCCUUUAGCUAGUUAGAAAUUAUGGCAGAAAUUUUAAACAUCU
rnacentral:lncRNA from 1 species